rnacentral:rRNA from 1 species
CACGUAGGUCGCGAGCGUUAUCCGGAAUUAUUGGGCGUAAAGAGUUCGUAGGUGGCUAGGCGAGUCUUGUGUGAAAGCCAACAGCUUAACUGUUGAACUGCAUAAGAUACUAUCUAGCUAGAAUUUAGGAGAGGAAACUGGAAUUCCAUGUGUAGCGGUGGAAUGCGUAGAUAUAUGGAGGAACACCGAUAGCGAAGGCAGGUUUCUGGACUAACAUUGACACUAAGGAACGAAAGCGUGGGUAGCAAACAGG